AGGAGAUGGAGCUUCCGCA
rnacentral:miRNA from 1 species